rnacentral:lncRNA from 1 species
ACUAGUUUUCUAUUAUAAUUUUACCCUUUGCUAACUAACUAUGGAAUACUCUAGUGAAUGAAUAACAAACUUGUAUUGGAAUAUUAUUAGAGGUGGAGGUUUAUCAUUACCCGCCGCCCCAAAAACCACCCUGUCCUUAAGUUGGAAGUCUGGGAAAAUUACCAAUUUCAGAUAACAAUAUAGCCGAACAAUUUCCUACGCAAUACUUGAGAAGCAUUUUGUUCUUCAGUUUUGCUUGAUAUGAGGCAUCCUUGUUGAAUUUACUUCCUUUCACCCACUCGAGCACUUUUUGUAUGAGAAGGAACAUGUCUAGUCCGAAUAUAUUUCUCAAUCGGGCGAUAGUCCUCACUAUCAUGUGGGAGAGGUGAAACAUGGCAAAUUUGCUUCUUGUACUUCUCAUCGAUUGAUUCGUCAUUAUCAAUGUCAAUACCAACUACUCAUGAAGCUAUUUCAAUGUCCUCAGGUUCUUCUAGCAUUUGCACCUUCAAAAAGUCUUCCCCAUCUUUAAUCACUUGCAGAUAGAUAGAAGGUAUAACUGUGAAAAAUCUGUUGUUUAGCAUCAACAAGACUCUCUUUGACAGAUGGAGCAUGAGUUGUGCUAUUUAGCCAAUUAUGUAUUUGUGUUAAAGCCUCAAAACUUAAUCGACCACCUACAAUUAGAAUGGUAUACAUGAAAAUCCCAUAACCAGUUGCGCCCGUGCACAAAAUUUGGAAGUUGUGAGCCCUUCUAUUCGAAUUUAUUUUGUGUUUAACCCCAUGCUUGAUUAUCACCACAAACUCCUGUUGCGUUAUUUUCCCUUCUAUUCCAUGGUCAUCGGUGCAAUCAAGCUUGCUACCGUAUUUGGAAAAGGAUCCACAAAUUCUCCCAUCCCAUCACUUCUUGGCUUGCCUCCCUAACCUUCAUCGACAUCUAAAUCGCAGCCAACAGUUUCUUUAUUGAUGAUUAAAACCUGCAACUCCUUGUGCUUACUUUGAUGCCAAAUAGAGUAGUUUUCUUUGCCCCCUAAAAACAGGCCCAACUCGUACUUCAAUUGAAGAUCCACAUCAAUUCGCCUUUUGUAAGAAAUUGGGGAUCUAUAGGGUACAAUUUAUUGUGGAGCAGAAUUAGUGAUUUGAGAAAUUGAUUUCUUAAUUUGAAGAGGAAGGUGGAUGGCGUAAUUAGAAUAUCUUGGGCUUUUAUUCCAAUUUAGGCCAAACCCUACCUGGGCUUGAUUCAUCCACUCAUUUCUUUCUUCAAGAUGUUGGGCCAUGUCCUUAAUAUGGUCCAAGCCCACUGGUUUCAGCAAUUGGUCUUUAGCCCUAUUUUCCUAAUUCAGUUUGUUGAUAACGUUGGCUUGUUUUGAUCCAUCCCCAAUACAAUCUCUCAACGGCAAUGGAAGAUUCGAAAAUCGGCGAUCAUGCUUCUUCUCCUCCUUCGGCGAUGGAGAUGGGGAUACUUGCAAUCUCUCAAGAGACGUUGAUAAAGGGGCGACCCAGCUGCCGGCAUCACAGGGGUUAUCAGAGGCUAUAGUAGCUCCAAUUUCCUUAGAUUUGGGUGGAGUUUCAUAAUAUAGAGCCUCUCCUUCGACACAAACUGCAACGACCUUGAUCUUCCUCCAAUUCGAAAACUGGUUUAAGUUAAAUUUCCUCUGUACUUGAGAAAACCAGCUGUCGGGACUGACACCAUUGGAAAUAGGUAUAUCCUGCCAUUUGCCUCUUCCCUCCACCCUCCAUGAUUCAUUACGACAAUUAUCAUCUCUGUUGUCAUCAGAUUUGUUUGGGAUUUCAGAAUUGGAAGUGUGGUCAUUGCUGCCUUCUUCCACCGGUUGGGUCAAUUCCAAAUCCAAGCCCAUAGAUUCUUUUAUCUGAAAUUCAACCAUCAAUUAAAGCCCAUUCUCUUCCCCUUUCUUUUCCAUGGUAUUCUCCUCUAGCAAUAGUCAUUGUUCAUACACUUCCGUCGAAGAAGCUAGGGCUUCCAACAUCUCUCCAGUCCUCACGUCCCACUGUUUGCUCGCCAGAGUUUCAUGAACCAUGGAGAUCUCCUUCGUGCGAUGGAAUUUCUUCUCCAUCGAUGAUGGCGAUGCAGACACGUGUAAUUUAUGGCUUUGUUCUUCCCGUGCUGUCUCCCAGCUCAAGUCAUCCCCCUGCUUCCCGUCUAAGUACUUACGAUCGGAGGUCUGCUUCAUGUGGAAUCGAUCCAACAUCAAUGCCUUCAAUUCUUCCCAAGUAUGUAUCUCUUGAAACCAUGCUCAAGCCUCUCCAAGGAAGCAAGUGACCGCGGCUUCUACCUUCUCCCUCUCCGGUAAGCCACGAUUCAUAUUUAGGCAUCGCUUCGCCUCAAACAGCCACGAUUCUAAAUUAUCCCCAUAUAAUAUCGAUGUGUUGAGUUGGCCGCAUGAAUCCAACCUCGAUCAACGGCUCAAUCUCCUUUCUGUUGCAUUACCAUCUUCUCCAACGUACUCCUUAUCAAGUUCAAACUAUCAUUUAAUUCUCUGCUGAGAAUCGUUUCCAUUAGUCCGAGAAUCGAUUGCUUUGAUAGCAAAUUGAUAAGAACUUGAUUUGAAGAGGUUGAAUUGCUUACUGAAAGAAUGAAUAUUGUGUAUUAAACUGCUAUUUUAUUGCAUUAAACGUGAAAAUAGACACAGAACAAUUCCAAGGCUUUCGAGAGGCCUGGUCUCUCCCCAAAUUUUCCCAAUAUUUCCCGAAUGCCUAUCCCAGCUCCCUGCAUUACAUUUAUAGAGAAUUUACUAGUUUUCUAUUACAAUUUUACCCUUUGCUAACUAACUAUAGAAUACUCUAGAAUAGUGAAUGAAUAACAAACUUGUAUUGGAAUAUUAUUAGAGGUGGAGGUCUAUCAGUGUCAGGCCAAGAAGUUCUUUACAUUUGUCAUUCCCUAAUCCAUCAGCUACAGUACGUCUAUGUGCCAAUAUUAUAUACACUUAUAAGCAGAUGUGUGGCAUAGGGUUCUAUCUUGAGAAUGUACAGAUUGAUUAUCCUUUUCAAAGACUGGCUGGAUACGUUAACACGUACUGCACUAUAGAAGGGAAAAAAUGAAAUUUUACAUAACAUUAUUGGAGUAUCCAGUUUGACUCUGAGCUUUGUCAUUUUACUUCAAACUUGUGAAGAGUAUGUAGC